rnacentral:rRNA from 1 species
GACGAACGCUGGCGGCGUGCUUAACACAUGCAAGUCGAACGGAAAGGCCCUGCUUUUGUGGGGUGCUCGAGUGGCGAACGGGUGAGUAACACGUGAGUAACCUGCCCUUGACUUUGGGAUAACUUCAGGAAACUGGGGCUAAUACCGGAUAGGAGCUCCUGCUGCAUGGUGGGGGUUGGAAAGUUUCGGCGGUUGGGGAUGGACUCGCGGCUUAUCAGCUUGUUGGUGGGGUAGUGGCUUACCAAGGCUUUGACGGGUAGCCGGCCUGAGAGGGUGACCGGCCACAUUGGGACUGAGAUACGGCCCAGACUCCUACGGGAGGCAGCAGUGGGGAAUAUUGCACAAUGGGCGGAAGCCGGAUGCAGCAACGCCGCGUGCGGGAUGACGGCCUUCGGGUUGUAAACCGCUUUCGCCUGUGGCGAAGCGUGAGUGACGGUAAUGGGUAAAGAAGCACCGGCUAACUACGU